AUAUAUACAGUGCACAUUAUAUAAAAAUGUUAGUUAUCAAACCCAGUUAUCAAAGCGUCUGGUACAAUAUAUCAGCUUUAACUUUAAUGACUGCGAUUGGCUGUUCAGGGUGUACCCCGCCUCUCGCCCAGUCAGCUGGCGACCCUAGUGAGGAUAAGGAGUACGGAAAAUAGAUGGAUGGAACAUCAAUGAGUGACACAGAUCUCGAAACACUAAACACGUUAAAAAGAUCCACAUGUGCCGUGAGAAAGUAUUUGCCCCUUCUCAAAUGUAUUUAUUUUUUAUUUUUGGCGUAGCUUCCCCGCUAAUGUUCAAGAUCAUCAAACAAAUGUAAAUAUCAGACAAAGAUAACCCAAGUAAACCACGUGAUUUUAUUUAAUACGGUAAAAAAAAAAACUAAAUUUUUUUGAUGAUCCUAAAAGUGGGGAAAUUAUGCAAAAAAUAAGAAUUUGAGAAAGAGGCAAAUACUUUUUCACGGCAAUGUACACUCAAACAAUAACUUUGGAAUAUGAACAAUUCUAAUUUGGAUAAGCACCUUCAUGCUAGCCCAUCACUGACAAACCCUGUCUUUGACAUGAACAUCUGCGCUUUAUUCACUGAGAAAUUAGGGGAAAUGUAAAAAAUGCCCUAUUUUGCAACAGGUAAUUAAACUUCCUUCAUCCAGAACUGCAAAAUGAGAACAAAUUUCAAUGUCUCAUUGUCAUGGAAUUUAGGUAGUGUCAUAUAGUGCCCUGCAGUUCCAUUAUUGGAGCCGGGAGGGCGCUUUGUGUCCUCUCUCCCCCCGCCUCUCUCUGUUUUCAGCACCUGUCUUCAAUCAGCCUCAUCACCACCGCUGUAGAUAAGCCCGCCUGUUCCCAGAAAUCCUUGCCUAAGUAUUGCAGCCUCUCCUAGCGUGCUCCCCUGUGUUCGUGACCUCUGUCAUUCCUGCCACCAAGCCAACUACCUGUUCUAUCCGCUGCCUGCCACCUGCCCACGUCGCCACCUGCCAACACAGCCAAGACCACCUCCAUAACCUUUCCUCAAUAAACUGUUCAUCAUUU